ensembl:lncRNA
CAUAGCUAAAUUCAGUAUAUGUUCGAUCCCCAGAUGUACAUUAGUCCGUGUGCCUUAUGCUGCAUAUUCACGGAAACACAAUUUUCUAUCUUUUUUUGUUGUUUAUAUUGGUUUGAAGAUUACAAUCAUUAGCUUACUGCUGUAUGUUUAACUGUAAUUGAACUUUCUUCUUUUUCUAAGAUUUGGGGCUGCUGUAAUGACUGAAUUUCACCACUGAGGGAUAAUUUAAAGUAAAUUCUAUGCUAUUCUAUUCUAUUCUUCCAUAAAUUAACAUAACUUCCUAUAGUUGUAGUCCCUAAUUGUGUAUGUUUUUUUAAUCUAUAGGUGUCACGGUUUGCCUCCACCUACUGGUGGAUCUUCUGUUUUGUGUUGCAGGUAGGCGCGGCAGACGGCACACCUGUUGGGAGUUUGACUAAUUGAGGGACAGAGGAUUUAAGGAGCGGUGCGACUCAACUCCAGUGCCGGUUGAUACUCUCACAUGGGUAGUCUCUAGCCUCUGAACCUGCCUGCUUGUUUUGUGAUUCCAUGAUUAUAACCUUGAACUUCGUUCCAGUAUCCUGUUCGUGCAUCUCCUACCUUGCCUGGAGUUGUUCCCACGUCUCGCCGCUCAAAGAUCCUCUGGACUCCUCUCUCCACGUCUGCCCGCCUGCCUCACGCUCUGAACUCCUCAUCUGGUCCAACCUUCCUCAGUUCACCUCCGCUCUGGUUCCGAUUCCUGACCAUUCCGGUCUCCUCCUGAUCCUGAUCUGAAGCAGCGCCUUUAGUUUAGUUUUGCCUAUUCUGUUAUUAUUUUCUCAUUGUAAAUAAACCACCAUAUUUUUACUCACCGACCCUCUGAUGUGAUUCUUCAUGUCCUGGGUGAAAGCUCUUACCCACAGCAUGACAAUAGGAGCAAUAGAAAUUAUAAUUAAAAAUCAGACAAGCAUUGUUUCUAAAAACUGAAAAGGUGUAAUAUGUAAAGCAGGUAAGUAGUAAGGUUUAAUAUGUAAAGCAGGUAAGUAGUAAUCAGUAGGGGCCAUUUUUGUGUCACUAGGGUUUACAGUGUAGGAGCUAUUGAGUUUUAAAAAUUCACCAAAAACAAAUGAAGCUUUAAAAAAUUGCUUAAAGGUGUGGUAUAGAAAGCAGGUAAGUGGUGAUCAGAAAGGGGCAUUUGUGUGUCAUUAGAGUUUACAGUGUAGGAUCUAUUGAAAUGAGAAAUUUUUUUUAAAAUGUAUGAAAAAUCAGAGAAGUAUUUUUUCAGAAAAGUAAAUGUUGUAGUAUGUAGAGCAGGUUUGUGUUGAUCCUCAGGCAUGAUUUUGUGUCACUAGAGUUUACAGCAAAGGAGCUAUUGAAAUUAAAGAAGUGGUAAUGGCCCCCUCAGAGUCUUACUCCACCCACGUAUCAAUUUUAAAAACUGCAACAUUAGUAGACGUUGCCUGGAGGACCGAGAGGGCGGAGCCGCGGCAGUGACGAAGACGAUGGCUAACUAGACGAUGCUAGCUCCCUUCACUCUGAGCAGUUAUUAGAAGUGGAGGACGUUUCUCCCCCUCCUUACUCAGACACUCGAGAAGAAACGGACCGAGUCUAUUUGGAGGAGACAAGCGGACCUGAGCCUUAAUGUUUUGAGCUUGUGAGUUGCCUGAAACUAGCGGAACCGACCCAACAGAACCAGCUCUGAAUGGUAAGUAGCCGUUAGCCAUAGCAUUGGAUUAGCUGCAGGGUUUGGCUCCACGGCCCUAGAGAGCUAGUAUUCAGCAUAUUUUAGAGAUUUAUCUGCUUCAACACACCUGGAUUUAGUCAGCAACAAAUAGCUGAGCUGCUUAACAGCCAAUCUAACCUGUUAAAGCAGGAAAACCACUGAAACUUGCUGGAUUGCAGCUCUUCAGGAGCCCUGGGCUCAAGUUACAGUCUGCUGCGUAGAAAGUUAUGAAACUACCCCAUGAGAAAAUUAUUCUGUAAUGUGUUCAGCCCACUAAAACUGCCCUGAUUUCAUUAUUUAUUUACUGAUACUAGCUGCUCUUGGUCAGAGGCGGCGUUACCAUUAGGCAAAGGUAGGUGAUUGCCUUGGGCCUCAAAAACUUUAAGGGCCC